rnacentral:rRNA from 1 species
GGCUCUUUGGAAUAAAUAUAUAAAGAGUCGAACCUGCCCAGUGAUUUUUUUUAAACGGCCGCGGUACUCUGACCGUGCAAAGGUAGCAUAAUCAUUUGCCCUAUAAUUGAGGGCUUGUAUGAACGGUUUGACAAGAGCAUAACUGUCUCUUAAAAAUUUUAUAGAAUUUGGUUUUUAGGUGAAGAAACCUAAAUAUAAUUGAAAGACAAGAAGACCCUAUCGAGCUUUAGAGCAAUUAAUUAAAAAAUAUAAUUAAAACAAUUAAUUUUAAUUAAAAACUUUGGUUGGGGCGACUGAGGAACAUAUAAAGCUUCUUUAAUUAAGACAUGCUCAUAGGCUAUGAUCCAAAAAGUUUGAUUAAAAAAAUUAGUUACCGUAGGGAUAACAGCAUAAUCUUUUUCAAGAGUUCUUAUCGAAAAAAAGGUUUGUGACCUCGAUGUUGGACUAGGAUAUCUUAAAGAUGCAGAAGUCUUUAAUAGUUGGUCUGUUCGACCAUUAAAAUCCU